rnacentral:rRNA from 1 species
AUUAUUGGGCGUAAAGAGCUCGUAGGCGGCUUAGUAAGUCGGCGGUGAAAUACCGAGGCUCAACCUCGGCACUGCCGUCGAUACUGCUAUGGCUAGAGUUUGGUAGAGGAGAACGGAAUUCCCGGUGUAGCGGUGGAAUGCGCAGAUAUCGGGAGGAACACCCGUAGCGAAGGCGGUUCUCUGGGCCAAUACUGACGCUGAGGAGCGAAAGCGUGGGGAGCAAACAGGAUUAGAUACCCUGGUAGUCCACGCUGUAAACGUUGGGCACUAGGUGUGGCGACCCGAUCAACGGUUGCCGUGCCGAAGCUAACGCAUUAAGUGCCCCGCCUGGGGAGUACGGCCGCAAGGCUAAAACUCAAAGGAAUUGACGGGUCCCCGCACAAGCGGCGGAGCAUGCGGCUUAAUUCGAUGCGACCCGAAGAACCUUACCUGGGUUUGACAUCAUGGGAAAAGCCGUAGAGAUACGGUGUCCGAAAGGGCCCAUGACAGGUGGUGCAUGGCUGUCGUCAGCUCGUGUCGUGAGAUGUUGGGUUAAGUCCCGCAACGAGCGCAACCCUUGUCUUAUGUUACCAGCGGGUUAUGCCGGGGACUCAUAAGAGACUGCCGGGGACAACUCGGAGGAAGGUGGGGACGACGUCAAGUCAUCAUGCCCCUUAUGCCCAGGGCUGCACGCAUGCUACAAUGGUCGGUACAACGGGCUGCGAUCCCGCGAGGGUGAGCGAAUCCCUUAAAGCCGGCCUCAGUUCAGAUUGGAGUCUGCAACUCGACUCCAUGAAGUCGGAGUCGCUAGUAAUCGCGAAUCAGCAAUGUCGCGGUGAAUGCGUUCUCGGGGAUUGUACACACCGCCCGUCAAGUCACGAAAGUCGGCAACACCCGAAGUCAGUGGCCCAACCGUAAGGAGGGAGCUGCCUAAGGUGGGGUUGGUAAUUGGGACUAAGUCGUAACAAGGUAGCCGUACGGGAACG